UACGAAGGGGGCUAGCGUUGCUCGGAAUCACUGGGCGUAAAGGGUGCGUAGGCGGCGCGGAAAGUUGGGUGUGAAAUCCCUCGGCUUAACCGAGGAACUGCGCCCAAAACUACCGUGCUUGAGGGAGAUAGAGGUGAGCGGAACUUAGGGUGGAGCGGUGAAAUGCGUUGAUAUCCUAAGGAACACCGGUGGCGAAAGCGGCUCACUGGAUCUCUUCUGACGCUGAUGCACGAAAGCUAGGGUAGCGAACGGG
rnacentral:rRNA from 1 species